GUUCAGACUGCAGGCUGCAACUCGCCUGCACGAAGUCGGAAUUGCUAGUAAUCGUAGGUCAGCAUACUACGGUGAAUACGUUCCCGGGCCUUGUACACACCGCCCGUCAAACCAUGAGAGUUGGCAACACCCGAAGUCGGUAGUCUAACCGCAAGGAGGACGCCGCCGAAGGUGGGGUUGAUGAUUAGGGUUAAGUCGUAACAAGGUAGC
rnacentral:rRNA from 1 species